ensembl:lncRNA LINC02028 long intergenic non-protein coding RNA 2028
GCGGCGGGGGAAACCCGAGCUCCCAACAAAACGGUUCCAUCUUUGGCUAGGCCUUUGGUAUUUCAAGGCGCUGCCGGUGGGGAGAGAUGCCGCGUGCCUGAGAGGCUCUGGGAGGCACCAAAGAAGGCCCAGAGAGGUUUAACAACUUCCUCAGAAUCACACAGCUUCCAAAUGGUUGGGUUGGGUUUACAUUUAGGCGGUCUUGCUCCAGAGCCAGUGCUCCUAACCUUUGCAAGCCACGAACCUCAAGAAAGUGGAGAAGGAAACGCUGGGAAAUCUGGAAGUCAGACAUGGCAAAGAGCUAAUGCUGGCAGCUGUUGGGAUGUCCUCUUCCAGGAAUGGUGAUGAGUUUCCCUGGAUCCAGCCCUGGCUUGGCUGAGGGAUUAUUUUCAGACCUCAUGAAGCUGCUGGCUUAUAGAACAGGAGUCUUUCUGUUGGCAGCCAGGAGAGAUACAAGAGGGGGAGGACAGAUUCUGCAGCUCCAUUUCGUCCUUGGAACAGGAGAAAGGGUUGGAAAACAAAGAUCACUUUUCUCUGGCCAAAUGGAAUCACCCAACAAAGUACCUUCCUGAUGGGCCAGCUAUUUCAGAUGAUGAAGGUUUAAGAAGCAGCAUCAUCAGCGAACUGUGUUUUGAAGAUUUGAGGGAAGGGCUGACCUCAGGAUUUUAUACUAGGUUUGUGUAAACACACAGGAUUCUUUUUCUCUCUGUCCCAAAUUUAAUCAUCGCACUCAUUCAAAUGAAAUAUGAAGUCAUAAGUAUUAAAAUAUGCAUGAGAU